rnacentral:lncRNA from 10 species
UGGGGAGAGGAAAAAGCAGCAAACAUAUUCUGGGAAUGGAAAGAAGGCCUCUCCAGGCUUCGUUGCCCCCAGCGACCCAAAAGUCCGAUUUCCCCGCCUUGAUUCUCCCCACUUCCCAAUACAGGCGUCUGGCUCCGCAGCAGAACACGAAGUUUGCAUUCCCCAAGGGGCGGCCAGGGGGCGGACCAGGGAAAGGUAGUCCUCUGCAUUUUGCCGUGUGCUGGAAUGGUGUAGAGUGACGAUGAGGUGGCGGUAAGGGGUUGAGCGCUCACGCGAACGCCUAAGUGACCAGAACGACUGGUGUGAAGCCGUGAUCUGACUCUGUGGAGCCUGGGACUGGUUUCAGCGAGAGCCUCUGUACUGCUCUGUAGUCUCUGCUAGGACAUGGACGAAAAGGGACGCAGCCGGGAGAGCGACUGCCCCAGUCCCACCCGCCUCGCCUGGUCUAGCCUCCGUGUUUCCAUGACAACUCCAAAGGAACCCAAACUGGGGGCUUGAAUGCCGGGGUAAGAGGAGGAGAGAGGUGGUCCGAGAGCAGAGAGAGACCGAGUGGGAAACAUCUGAAGCGCUCCCCCUCCCUCGCCUCGGUCCCUUUAAGCUCCCCCCCUCCCCGCUCUCCC